CAAAAGCUUGGUCCUGACUUUAGUGUCAACUUUGAUUUAAUUUAUACAUGCAAGUAUCCGCAUCCCCGUGAGAAUGCCCUACAUAUUCCUUCUUGGAAUAAAGGAGCAGGUAUUAGGCUCAACCCUAAGUUAGCCCACAACGCCUUGCUUAGCCACACCCCCAAGGGAACUCAGCAGUAAUAAACAUUAAGCUAUAAGUGUAAACUUGACUUAGCUAAAAUCAAGAGGGCCGGUAAAACUCGUGCCAGCCACCGCGGUUAUACGAGGGGCCCAAGUUGACAAACACCGGCGUAAAAAGUGGUUAGUAUAUAAAUCAACUAAAGCCAAACACCUUCAAAGCUGUUAUAUGCUCUCGAAGAAAGGAAGCCCUCCCACGAAAGUGGCUUUAACUAUUACAAACCCACGAAAGCUAGGAAACAAACUGGGAUUAGAUACCCCACUAUGCCUAGCCCUAAACAAAGGUAGCCCACAUUACAUCUUUAUUUGCCAGGGAACUACGAGCCCCAGCUUAAAACCCAAAGGACUUGGCGGUGCUUUAGACCCCCCUAGAGGAGCCUGUUCUAGAACCGAUAACCCCCGUUCAACCUCACCCUCUCUUGUCUUUUCCCGCCUAUAUACCGCCGUCGUCAGCUUACCCUGUGAAGGACACAUAGUGAGCAUAAUUGGUAAAACCUAAAACGCCAGGUCGAGGUGUAGCAAACGAGAGGGGAAGAAAUGGGCUACAUUCACUGAAACAGUGAACUACGGAAGAUGCACUGAAAUAAACAUCCAAAGGAGGAUUUAGCAGUAAGAGGACGAAAUAGAGAGUCCCCCUGAAAUUGGCCCUGAAGCGCGCACACACCGCCCGUCACUCUCCCCAAAUAUUUUUUAACCUAAAAAUAAAUAAAAAGCAAACCACAUAAAGGGGAGGCAAGUCGUAACAUGGUAAGUGUACCGGAAGGUGCACUUGGAAAAAC
ensembl:Mt_rRNA 12S ribosomal RNA